CCGGGUAAAGGGUUACACCUGAUCAGCAUGCCGCGUGCAGGACGAAGGCCUUCGGGUUGUAAACUGCUUUUGUACAGAACGAAAAGCCUUGGGUGAAUACCCUGAGGACAUGACGGUACUGUAAGAAUAAGCACCGGCUAACUACGUGCCAGCAGCCGCGGUAAU
rnacentral:rRNA from 1 species